CGCGUGGUAGAGCAGUUCGGUAGCUCGGUGGUCUCAUAAGCCGCAGGUCGCCGGUUCAAGUCCGGCCCACGCAA
rnacentral:tRNA from 1 species